GACGAACGCUGGCGGCGUGCCUAAUACAUGCAAGUUGAGCGAUGAAGAUUGGUGCUUGCACCAAUUUGCAGAGCAGCGAACGGGUGAGUAACGCGUGGGGAAUCUGCCUUUGAGCGGGGGACAACAUUUGGAAACGAAUGCUAAUACCGCAUAACAACUUUAAACAUAAGUUUUAAGUUUGAAAGAUGCAAUUGCAUCACUCAAAGAUUAUCCCGCGUUGUAUUAGCUAGUUUGUGAGGUAAACGCUCACCAAGGCGAUGAUACAUAGCCGACCUGAGAGGGUGAUCGGCCACAUUGGGACUGAGACACCGCCCAAGCUCCUAAGGGAGGCAGCAGUAGGGAAUCUUCGGCCAUGGACGAAAGUCUGACCGAGCAACGCCGCGGGAGUGAAGAAGGUUUUCGGAUCGUAAAACUCUGUUGGUAGAGAAGAACGUUGGUGAGAGUGGAAAGCUCAUCAAGUGACGGUAACUACCCAGAAAGGGACGGCUAACUACGUG
rnacentral:rRNA from 1 species